rnacentral:tRNA from 1 species
AGAAACUUAGGAUAACAUUUAAACCACAAGCCUUCAAAGCCUGUAAUGGAAGUGAAAAUCUUCCAGUUUCUG